GAUGAACGCUGGCGGUGUGCCUAAUACAUGCAAGUCGAGCGAACAGACGAGGAGCUUGCUCCUCUGACGUUAGCGGCGGACGGGUGAGUAACACGUGGAUAACCUACCUAUAAGACUGGGAUAACUUCGGGAAACCGGAGCUAAUACCGGAUAAUAUAUUGAACCGCAUGGUUCAAUAGUGAAAGACGGUUUUGCUGUCACUUAUAGAUGGAUCCGCGCCGCAUUAGCUAGUUGGUAAGGUAACGGCUUGCCAAGGCAACGAUGCGUAGCCGACCUGAGAGGGUGAUCGGCCACACUGGAACUGAGACACGGUCCAGACUCCUACGGGAGGCAGCAGUAGGGAAUCUUCCGCAAUGGGCGAAAGCCUGACGGAGCAACGCCGCGUGAGUGAUGAAGGUCUUCGGAUCGUAAAACUCUGUUAUUAGGGAAGAACAAAUGUGUAAGUAACUAUGCACGUCUUGACGGUACCUAAUCAGAAAGCCACGGCUAACUACGUG
rnacentral:rRNA from 1 species